GGUGUUCCUGGGCUGGAUCUGAGGCAAAUGAAAUGAAGUUGAAUGAUAUGAGUGGAAGUUGCACUCUCGAAAGAAAACCUGUCUGUUACGAAAGGAAGGCUGUCUGGUCAGCCUGUUAGCUGUUGGUCACACGCAUCUGGCCCGAAAACGGCAGGCAUCUGAAACUGCUUGGACCUGCUCAAGUCAACCUGCUCGAUCCACGGAUGCUGUAAACUGGGAGCUGGCCAAAGAGUGGGAGAACUCCAGGAUUCCUCCCCAGAAAAGGUUUGUCAUGUGA
rnacentral:lncRNA from 1 species